ACUUAAAUAGCUUAUUUGAUUUAGAGCGCGACACUGAAGAUGUUGAUGAGGUAUUAUUACCUUUGAGUG
rnacentral:tRNA from 1 species